AUGCAAGGGAGCAUUAUCCCAUGAGCACUCUCUGCCCAGCUCCCUCGCGUGCACCGCACUGAUGUCGGAGCUGGAAUAUGACUUCAUUCCGGCUCCUGCAUCAGUAAGCAGCGUGCGAGGGAGCUGGGCAGAGAGCGCUCAGUGGAGAAUAUUCCCUCACG